GAGCAAUCUGUGUGACUGCGUACCUUUUGUAUAAUGGGUCAGCGACUUAUAUUCUGUAGCAAGGUUAACCGAAUAGGGGAGCCGAAGGGAAACCGAGUCUUAACUGGGCGUUAAGUUGCAGGGUAUAGACCCGAAACCCGGUGAUCUAGCCAUGGGCAGGUUGAAGGUUGGGUAACACUAACUGGAGGACCGAACCGACUAAUGUUGAAAAAUUAGCGGAUGACUUGUGGCUGGGGGUGAAAGGCCAAUCAAACCGGGAGAUAGCUGGUUCUCCCCGAAAGCUAUUUAGGUAGCGCCUCGUGAAUUCAUCUCCGGGGGUAGAGCACUGUUUCGGCAAGGGGGUCAUCCCGACUUACCAACCCGAUGCAAACUGCGAAUACCGGAGAAUGUUAUCACGGGAGACACACGGCGGGUGCUAACGUCCGUCGUGAAGAGGGAAACAACCCAGACCGCCAGCUAAGGUCCCAAAGUCAUGGUUAAGUGGGAAACGAUGUGGGAAGGCCCAGACAGCCAGGAUGUUGGCUUAGAAGCAGCCAUCAUUUAAAGAAAGCGUAAUAGCUCACUGGUCGAGUCGGCCUGCGCGGAAGAUGUAACGGGGCUAAACCAU
rnacentral:rRNA from 1 species